rnacentral:tRNA from 1 species
GGAGACGUAGCUCAGCUGGUUAGAGCGCUUGCUUGACAUGCAAGAGGUCAUAGGUUCAAGUCCUACCGCCUCCACCA